UAGGGAAUCUUCGGCAAUGGACGAAAGUCUGACCGAGCAACGCCGCGUGAGUGAAGAAGGUUUUCGGAUCGUAAAACUCUGUUGGUAGAGAAGAACGUUGGUGAGAGUGGAAAGCUCAUCAAGUGACGGUAACUACCCAGAAAGGGACGGCUAACUACGUGCCAGCAGCCGCGGUAAUACGUAGGUCCCGAGCGUUGUCCGGAUUUAUUGGGCGUAAAGCGAGCGCAGGUGGUUUAUUAAGUCUGGUGUAAAAGGCAGUGGCUCAACAUUGUAUGCAUUGGAAACUGGUAGACUUGAGUGCAGGAGAGGAGAGUGGAAUUCCAUGUGUAGCGGUGAAAUGCGUAGAUAUAUGGAGGAACACCGGUGGCGAAAGCGGCUCUCUGGCCUGUAACUGACACUGAGGCUCGAAAGCGUGGGGAGCAAACAGGAUUA
rnacentral:rRNA from 1 species